GAGUCCCUGCUUCCCCAACAUCUAACUGCUUCUACUCUCCCUUCCAGCCACAAUGGAAGGGAGGGAGAGUAGAAGCAGUUAGAUGUUGGGGAAGCAGGGACUC